rnacentral:rRNA from 1 species
GGAAUCUUCCACAAUGGGCGAAAGCCUGAUGGAGCAACGCCGCGUGUGUGAUGAAGGGUUUCGGCUCGUAAACACUGUUGUAAGAGAAGAAUGACAUUGAGAGUAACUGUUCAAUGUGUGACGGUAUCUUACCAGAAAGGAACGGCUAAAUACGUGCCA